rnacentral:rRNA from 1 species
CUACGGNAGGCAGCAGUGGGGAAUAUUGGACAAUGAGGGGGAACCCUGAUCCAGCCAUGCCGCGUGUGUGAAGAAGGCCUUAUGGUUGUAAAGCACUUUAAGCGAGGAGGAGGCUCUUU